rnacentral:rRNA from 1 species
AGUGAACGCUGGCGGUAGGCCUAACACAUGCAAGUCGAACGGCAGCACAGUAAGAGCUUGCUCUUACGGGUGGCGAGUGGCGGACGGGUGAGGAAUACAUCGGAAUCUACUUUUUCGUGGGGGAUAACGUAGGGAAACUUACGCUAAUACCGCAUACGACCUACGGGUGAAAGCAGGGGAUCUUCGGACCUUGCGCGAUUGAAUGAGCCGAUGUCGGAUUAGCUAGUUGGCGGGGUAAAGGCCCACCAAGGCGACGAUCCGUAGCUGGUCUGAGAGGAUGAUCAGCCACACUGGAACUGAGACACGGUCCAGACUCCUACGGGAGGCAGCAGUGGGGAAUAUUGGACAAUGGGCGCAAGCCUGAUCCAGCCGUGCCGCGUGUAUGAAGAAGGCCUUCGGGUUGUAAAGUACUUUCAGCGGGGAGGAAGGGAGUAAAGUUAAUACCUUUGCUCAUUGACGUUACCCGCAGAAGAAGCACCGGCUAACUCCGUG